GUGAAAUAUAGUAAUAAAGUCUUUGGGAAAAAUUGUGUUUGAUGAGUAAGGGGACCUCCAAAGUUACCCUGGAGUUUGGCAAAUAUUAUUUGUGUCAAUUGAAGAGUUUCAGUCUAUAUUUGAAAGGAAACUUCUUGUUUUGUUGUUUGUUGUUUUUGUUGUUGCUGCUGCUGUGGUUUCUGUUGUUGUUGUCUUUCCUCUUCCUCUUCCCCCUCCUCCUCUUUCUUCUUCUUCCUCCUCCUCUCUUCUUUCCUUCUUUUUCUUUUCCUCAUCACUAUUUACAUCACCCUUUUCCAGUUCUUUCAGUGUUUCAUCAAGUGCCAAGGGGUUCUUUCAAAAUACACUAUUUCGACACUAAAAGUAUACACCAAUUGUCUCUGUUAGGAUUAUAUUUGCCUGCAUGGAAUGGAAAAUUCCAGAACAAUGUGAUGUAAACAUACAAGGGCUCAUGAUCUCACAUUGAGGACAUCCAAGGUCAGCCGUCCAGGUGUCAUCAACCUGACAAGUAGAAGGAGGGAGAGAUAAGGUCACACAUCAAACUACUGGCAGAACUUGGACAGCUGGAAAACAAGACGCAUUUUGUAACUUGAACAACAGAACUCCAAAUGAUUUCUAAAUUUAGCUCAUUUUGAACUUGCUUUUUUUCUCCUUAUCUUCUUUUUUCCGAUUUCUUUCUGCUCUUGUUGGUUUUAUCUUCCCUUUGCAGCAUCCAUGUAAUGAAAUGCACUGCUUGGUCCUUUUCAUGAGGAAGACAGAAGGUGUCAGAAACACAGAAGUCGCUAUCUCUGAGAUGGAUCUUGCAAGACUCAGACCUCCAUGCUCUGGUCUGGAUAUCCCUCAGUGAAAAAGGAGGCCAGCAGUACCUCCCACUGGGGACCAGGAGCCUGCCAGUACAGGAUGCAGCCAGUGCACAAAGCUGGGAAGAGAAGGGCAGAAAUGGAUGGAGAAGGAAAGAAGAAUAACUCAGCAGCACAGCUAUGUCAGCUUGUGAACCCAGCUCUAACCAAUCUGAAAGGUUAUAUCUACUCCUCUACUCACCUUUCAUAUUUAUGAGUGUGCGUGGUCAGAGACCUCUAGGUAAGAACCUGUAGGUAAGACGCUGUUCCCCUUCAAACUUGAUGACCCCUGUCCCUUAGCAACUGGUUCCCCGAUACCGUGAAUUUGCAGCAUCAGGUGUUUCUCCUUGUGGCAAACCCUCCCUCUGGCCUCAUUCAUCUCAUCAUCUUUUUUUUUUUAAAGAUUUUAUUUUUUUCCUUUU
rnacentral:lncRNA from 1 species